rnacentral:rRNA from 1 species
AUACGGAGGUUGCGAGCGUUAAUCGGAAUUACUGGGCGUAAAGCGUGCGUAGGCGGUUUGUUAAGUCAGAAGUGAAAGCCCUGGGCUCAACCUGGGAACGGCUUUUGAGACUGGCAGACUCGAGUUGAGUAGAGGGGAGUGGAAUUUCCGGUGUAGCGGUGAAAUGCGUAGAGAUCGGAAGGAACACCAGUGGCGAAGGCGACUCCCUGGACUCAAACUGACGCUGAGGUACGAAAGCGUGGGUAGCAAACAGGAUUAGAAACCCUAGUAGUCC